CGCCGAGCUCCCUCUCCUACUACUUCCGGCGGAAAACGACUAGCGGAACUCCUCUACGUAAAGCAGACGCGAAGCGCGGGACGCCUGCAACGCAUGCGCAAAACGGAAGUGCCUUGGCUUGGAGACAUGAAGUGGGUUCAUUCUGGAUGAAAUUAACUGGAAGAUGUGCUACAGGAAUGCAGCAGGAGUAUAAUGCAGAGCUCAGUCCCUGGAAUUGUACUAGAGGUGACAGGCAGCUCCAGAAUGUUCUGACUGUAGAGAGAGAAGAUUUUACUUUCAGCUACUCUCAGGUCUGCAACAUCAGCGAGAAACUAUAUGGAAAACCUGCCCAUUUUUUUUAUCUACAACCUGUAGGAGAGCGUUAAAAGGAAAAAUGAAACUGUGAUUUGCUACAGAUUUCCCUUCUGACCCUCACUGAGGGAUCACUGCAAGUUGUGCAUUUUCCACGCUUUCCUACUGUUCACUUCUUCGCAUAUCCAAGCCUCUGCAAGGCAAGGAGCAAGAAGACUGGCCAUGAAAAACAAACAAACAAACAAACAAAUAAAAAACAACAAAACAGAGGAAGAAUGAGGAAAAGAUCAAGAAUUUUAGAGAUUAUAUAAUAUGAUAUGGCAGAGAUCAACAAUGGCCAGUUUUAUGUGCUGCAGGAUUGUCCAUAACCUCACCUGAACAUUAUCAAAAAUGUCCAAAUGGGACUUGUUUAGACUUCUCCCACUUAAGAAGGGAAGCCCCAAGCUUCAGUCAAAGGAAAAAAUGUACAUUCCUAUGAGGGCACUGAGCAGUGCUCUAAGACUUGAAAUUCCACUUAAGCCUACUUGCUUUGUCAGUGGAAAGGUUGGGUGCCUUUGAAGGCUUCUGAAGAGCAGUUAAGAGCCAUGAAAAAAGCAAUGCAGGAGCCAAGAGCACAAGGACUUCAGAUGAAGUUUCCAGUCUGGCUGUGAGCUUUUAACCACCACCACCCAGAGCAGGGCCAGAGUCCCACUCCUGCCCUUGUCAGCAAAGCAGGACAUGGCUCUGCAGAACAGACAGUGCAGUAGAAACAACUGCUGUGAGCCUCGGCUGGGAGGGACUGAGCAUUUUCCCCAUCCUGCUUUGGCAGAAUUGGCCAGGGUUCGAGGCAUCUUUCAUUUCCCAGCUCUGUUUUUGUUGCAGAAGACACAGCUUCUUUCUAUUUUUCUAGACUGGCCGAUCCCAGCAUGCACCAAAUCCAUGAAGGGAAAUAGGAAAUGAUUUUCUUAGUCCCUGAAUUGACCCGUGGGUCUGACAAUCCUGCUAGACUCGGCAGUUUCUCUGCUGGUUUGAAGAGAGCGUGUUUAUGCACCUGGGAUCAUGCAGCUUGAAUUAUUCUUUUAAACAUUUUCAUAGAGAGUGGCAGUGUAACAGAAAUCACUAAACAAAAUGUACAUUGUGUGUGACAGUUAGCAACGGGCCGGUUCACAGAUUGUUAAGGGCUAUUGAAAGUCAUGCUUGUGUUUUUCUUCUUUAACAUUUUUCAAGGACAAUUUGAUUGCAUUUCCCAGAAAGGUUAAUAUAAACAAUCUGCUCCCUUCAUUUUUAUGAGAAGCGUUUAAAAGUAAAACGUCCUGCUGUUAUUUCGCUAUUGCCUGUGUUAUUGAUGGCUGAGGAUUCCCAAAUAAGUUCUGAAAUUUUGCAGCUUUGCACAUUUCUGGGAGAAUUACUCAAAAGUCCACUGUCUCAUUCCCCAUCCACAGCUGCCCUGAGAAAGAUAAAACUUUCUUCAACGUCUCUUUAAGCCUAAAAGGCAGGAUUCAUCCCUUGGACUUCAGCCUCAUAAAGAUUAGGUAUCUAUUCUGAACCAGUUAUUUAAUGCCCUCCACAAUCAGAAGAGGAGAAGCAAGUCUAGGUGCCAGCUUGGCUCAUCUUCUAUAGGUGCCAGUCUUUGACAUAAGUGACUUACUUUGUGGAAGCAGUUUUCUUUCUCCACCAAAAACAAAGUCAGUCCAAACAACUCACUCAGAUUGUGUCAUGUCUGUCCUUCCCCUGGUGUGCUCUCUGGCUCUGCCCCACAGAUUGUGUUGUUAGGACCUCUUCUGCUGUCAAUGUCUGUCAGGGUAACCAGCUGCCUCCAAUGCUUACAGAAGUACUCUGCACCUAACAAACGCGGAAAUACUGCCUCAAAGAGUAACUUCUGAAUGUACUUAUGAGUAUUCUUGGGCCAAAUUUGCAAUUCCACUGUAAGUCUACAAUCACAGGUAGGUAUUCCAUCUUAUUUCUGGAUGACCUGUCAUGGUAAUAUUUAUUUUCAGUUUAUUUGAGUGCUUUGAGUAUAGGGUUGGACUAGCAAGGGACUUAUACAGGUCCCUUCCACCCUAAACUUAUGUAUGAUUGUCUCUAUAAUUUUCACAAAACCAAUAUGUUACCUAACAGUCAUUCAGAGUGUUGUCCAAGUCAAAUGUUAUGUUGAUUUUGUUCCCUCCUCUCUCCAACCUCCACGUACAAAAUUGAAAGCAGAGAUAAAAUGAACAAAACUGGAACAAAACACUUGACCUCUCCUUGGUCAAGUGUUAAGCCUCUCCAAUGCCUUCCCACCAGUACAAAAAGUGGACCUCUUGCAUCAGAUUGCCAUCGGUUCUAAGGGCAAUAUCAGCAGUUAAAACUUCUGGUACUGAGGUCAGCAAUGAACCUCCCAUCAACAUGAGCUGUGCAAGGCUCUGGGGAAGAUUUUUGUUCACAUGUUCACCUGUUCACCAUAGCACUACUCACCUUUUCUGCUGCAGUGUUUGCUGAGGUGCCCUUAGUUGCAGGAAGGAGCUGCAUACCAUCUUGGCAUUCCUGAGCACUGCAAAAUAUGCCUUAGCAUGAAAGGUGCACACCAUGCAUUUUAGAAAAACAAAAAAUUAUCCAAAUGCAACAUAAGCUUUUAGAUUUCGGUUAAAUCUAGAUAGAUGUGAUUCAUAAGGUGUAGCUGAGAGCAAGUCAGGACCUUCCCUUCUCAAGGCAGACAGGUCCCGAUUGUGCUCUCAGACCCACAUGUGCAUUUCCCAUUUUCUGCCCCUCAUUGGCUGCACAGCCACUCUUUGACAACACAGAAACAGGGCUGACAACACAGAAACAGGGCUCCUCUGCUUGUAUGUUAGCAGAUCUCUGCCUCCUGCCAGCCAAGUCUUCCCAGAAAGCUGCUUCCAUAGCUUUUCUUAGGCAUUUUCUUUGUUAUCCUACUAUUUGUUUUUCUGCAGAUGUAUUACUAUUGCAAAACCUAUUCUUUACACUCACCCAGAUACACAGAACACUUUUGUUCAGAUUUGCUGGGGCACAACUGAUCUCAAUGCUGUGAUCACCAAUGCAUAAAAAAACACAUUGCCAGUUUUCAUUAGAUUCUUGCUGGCUGCAGAUGCUCAAAUACAAAUGGUCACUUUAUAUUAAAAAUUACACUGUGCACAGAACUGUGCGUGCGUAUAUGUGUAUUUAAAAGUGACCUUAUUUCAAGAAAGAACAGUUGAAAAGAAAAACACAAAAAAAGGCAAAACCACCAACUUGCCACCACUGUGUUAAAGCAGCAUUUAAUAUACACUUCCAAAAAGACAAACAGAAGAUGUGAUAAAGGUUCAAACCCCAAAAUCCAGAGUGUGAAACUAAGGAGGCAGCCAGCACCAGUGGGUCAGCAGUGCCACACCACAGACAAACCUUUUCUCAGAUGCCAAGUGAUGCCACAGCUGGCACGAGGCAGCAGUAGGUGUGAGUACUUCCAUCAGACCCGGCUUAGAGGUAGUUCCCAUUAAAAUCUCUCAGUGCCAGUCAUUCAGGCCCUAAAAUGUGCACAAGUGACUAAUGGUUUCCAAUGCCUCCAGUGCUCCAGCAUGUGGCUGGAUAUCUGAAGAGAGGUGUGGGUGGUCUCUAAAAGUUAAUCUCUUAUAAGAAGCGAACCCAAAAUUAACAGUUGUUUUCCAGCAUUUCCAGUAUUGAUGUAGCCUUUAAGCAGAGAAGCUGAAGAUCUUCCUUCAUGCUGAAAACAUGACAGCCCCUGUACUGGUGAGAAACUCAAAUUUAUCUUGGUAACACUCCCUAUAUAAGGAACAUUUUCCAGAGUCUCUCAUUCACUGCAUAAAAGCCCACUACAAGACAGCUAACAUAUCUAAAAUAUACUCCCUGCUCUCCAAGACGUACUCACAAAUCAUCUGGUUUAAAAGAGCCCUCUCCAAGUGUGCUUCACAAAGUUUUCCAUUUGCCCUCCCAGGCAGCUUAGCAACGUCGCUGGCGAUAAAUAAUGUUGCAAAGGAAAUUCUGUGUCAACUAGGAGGGUUACAGAAAAAACCCACUAUAGAAAAUGUACAAAAAGUAUAAUUUAUUGCCCCCCCAGCAUCUGCUUUUAUCUGUAUCCUUUUGAGAGCAAAUUAACAAGUCUUGCGUAUCUCCAUAUGUUUCUUUCUGAGGAGCAUCACGGCUGUGAAGGUGCGUGUUUGUUUGGUCUGUAAUAACAAACACGUAUGUUUGUUAUACACUGGAGAAUGUGAGGAUUAAAUGUUGAUGAUGCUUUUAUAAUAUGAUAAAUCACCAGAAGAAAAAAGAAAUAUUUUAAAAGCCAUAAGGAUUUUUUCAUCUUUUGUCUACAGAAAGCAGCCCAAAUCCUAGUGUUUCAUGUGUACUUUUCAGGUAAUAAAAGCAGCUGCUUUCAAAAUGUGAAUAAACCCCAUAUGCUUACUAAAACCACCCUUCGAAGGCCAGCAAGUAAUUCACAUUAUUUUUUAAAAAUUGGAAUUCUUUUUCUUUUUCAGCUCCAGAAACAGAAUGAAAGAAGUGACCUUUAUUUGAAUAAACAUUCUUUUCAACUUGUCGAUAGCUAAUGUAUGUUUAUAUACAUACAUACAUACAUACAUACAUACAUAUAUAUAUAUAAAAAAAAAAGAUGUAGGCAACUCAGUUAG